rfam:Triticum aestivum genome assembly, contig: Triticum_aestivum_CS42_TGACv1_scaffold_423193_5BS
AAAAUACUCCCUCCGUUCGGAAUUAUUUGUCGCAGAAAUGGAUGUAUCUAGACGUAUUUUAGUUCUAAAUACAUCCAUUGAUACAUCCAUUUCCGAGACAAGUAAUUCCGAACGGAGGGAGUAAACG